CAUCUUCUUUCUCGUAAGCCCGAAAAACAUGGUUGGAUAAUCACCUUGCAAGAUUUAUUUCACCAUCAUCCCAAAAUUCACCUCCACAACAUCCAUUAACAAUCAAUUUUUUUUCCUUUGUCCCCAAGCCUCUCUCACUAGACAACAAAAUGACUACUCAACCAGCCAUAUCGAUCUGCCAAAACAAUAAAAACAACUGGUGUUCAUGCCUUGCCAGCUUUAAAACAGGACAAGCAGGGAGCCUCAUCUUUAAUCGAUGGCUGUCAUCUCCUCUCCAACAUCAAAGGUCCAGGUUCAACCAGCUCCCAACCUCUAGAAUCAUCCUCUCCGGCCACCAAAACCCCCAUGAAACCUUAACAAGAAGGAGGGGGGAUCGAGGACCAUGCAUCACCAUACUGCAUGCUAUUCCAUAUAUCAAGCCCUGGUUUUCACCCUAAAAACAUAAAAAAUAAAAAACCUUUACACCCUUUUCCAAACACUCGAACCAUUGCAAGAUUACAAACCUUAGCAUUAACCACCGAAGCACCAUCAUCUCAGCCACAGCUCCUCCCCAUAGCACAUGGCCAGCAUCCACCUUUCAAUAAAAUAACUUAGCCUUUAACCAUUUUCCCAUCACAAAGAGCAUUACACCUACAUCUCAGACCCGAGCAUUUUCUUGAUAAUAGUAUACCUCUAACCCUCUCCUUCGUUGCGAUACAACAUUGACAUGAUUUCUUAAAGUUGGCAUCUGUUUUAAGGUGAAGGAGCUUGGGUCUCGAAAUUUAAUACACUAGUCCACUCUCGUUGCGCGCUAUUAUGUACUCUUCAAGAACGUCCACUACCACUACACAAGAGCAUGCAAGGGAGAAGUCUAGCAACCAUUUGAAAAGAAGAAGUUCCGAUCUUUAUUAUUGCUACAGUAUCGCAACUGUCUGCACCUUCCACACCCGUCAUCAACAGUACCGUGAGCUCCUCCAACGCAACAGCAACCAAUUUUUCCCAUUCCAAGCGAUUGAAAACUUCAGGACCUAAAACGGAAGCUUGUUCAUGUGGAUGCCUAGGAGAAAAGGUCAUGGUAAGUGGUACUUGCCAAAGUUUUUCAUGACUAGAAAAAUAAGAAGGUGCUGGGUAACGUUCAUCCAAACUGGUGGGUUUGAUCUUUUAAACAGGAAAAUUUUUUCUCAGUUUUUGUUUAUGGAUUAGGCUUUCCAAAGUCACUUGUUUUAAAGAAGAAAGGCUGUGCUAUUCGGCGUUCCUUAAGCCCGUUUUUUUCCAUUGGAAAAGGCCUGCGUUGGUUUUGGGCAAAACGUAUGCCUUAUCCGGGCUUGGGUUUUAGCAGAGGUCUUGAGUUAGGCUGAGAAGCCGAUCCACAGCUUUUAGAAUCUAAAACCAUGUUUAGCUAAGCCAAAAUUUAUCAAAGUAAAAAAUUAUAUUUUUAGGUUUCUAAGCCAUGUUUGGUAAACACGUUUUUAAAGUAAUUCUUAAAUUGUGUUUUUUUUAUUUUUUAAUAAGAGUGUGUUUUGGGAAAUAUUUUUUAACACAUUUUUCACAGCUUUAUUUUUUUAUUUUUAGAUGACCAUUUUCUAAUUGAUUUUGGAUUUUUUAUACUUUUUUAAAACCUUUUAUGUUUAAUAUUUAAGAACGUGAACUUAUAUGUAAAAUAAUUUUCUAGUAUUAAAUAAACCAAUUUAAAAAAUAAAAAAAAAACACAAAUUCUUUUUUAAAAAAACAUAUUUAUGUUUAAAAUUACAUAUGGCCAAAUUGUAAGAUAAUUUUCAUUCAUGUUUUUGUAAAAUAAAAAUAUUGUAUUUUAAGAAAAAUCAAUUAAUGAAUUUUACAACUAGUCUAUAAAUAUUCAUUAGAACUUGGAAUGAAUUUAAAAAAAAAUAAUUUAUUUUUAAUAUUAGAAUUUAUAAAUUUACAUAUAACAUGUAUUUUCAAUAUUAAAAAAGCUAAUUAAGCCAAUAAUAAAUAAAUAACCUCUCUCUGUAUUUACAUUUAAUAUUUAAGAAUUACAAAUUUAUACUAAUGCUGAUAGUCUCGUAGGUAAUAUAAGUUUUGAUUGUAAUACAAGUUGAUGUCACUAGUUUCAUUCAGGAUAACUAGUCAAAUAUAAAUUCUGCUCAUUAGACAUAUUGACACCACUAGUUUCAUUCAGAAUAACUAGUCAAAUAUAAAAUCCUGGUCGUCAGACAAGCUAACAUCAUUAGUCUCAUUCAAGGUAACUAGUUAAUUUUUCAUCUUUUCAUUUCUCAUGUCAUAAUUUAUAUAAAUUCAUAACAUAUUUAAACAAAUUACAGUUAUUCAACAUUAAGAAAUUUGAGCAAAAUAAACGGUUGUUGUGCAAAGUACCUACCUAAUGCUUGUGUUCAAGCAGAAAUCCCCUAUUGCUGAAUGAAUUAUGUGGCUUUUUCUGUACCAACAGGAACAACACUAUAUACAAUUCAAUUACUAUGGCAAUCCAAUUUAAAUUUUCAUUUCAAGUUCGAGUCUCAAAUUAAUGAUAAGGAAAAUAUAAAGUUUUCCGUGCUUAAAUACUUUUCAUUAACAUAUCCUUCAAUAUACCUGUAAUGUUUUGAAUUAAAAGAGUUAGGAAAAUACAACAAAGUUCUUGGUGGCUUAAAGAGUGGGUAUAAUUAAAUGAGGGGUAUUGUAGUAAUUGUAUAAAGAGAUGAUAUAUAUAAAAAGGAAGGAAAAAAAACAAAAGAAGAGACCUGUAAAAUUUUGAGAGAGAACCGCGGGAGUGAAGUGAGAAAGAAGAAGAAGAGAAAAGAGGGGAAAAUAAGGGAAAAAGGAAAGGAGUUGGAGGAAAUAAGUAAAAAGGGAUAAUCCUGAUAUUCUACCGGCGGGACGUCAGUAGGAUUUCCUUCGAUAUCAGCUUUGAGUUUUGUUGCUUUCGAGUCAGGCUUAUAGCUUGAUAGCAGGUCACUUUUGUUGAACCUUCCGAGCCUG